GCUAGUAAUCGUGGAUCAGCAUGCCACGGUGAAUACGUUCCCGGGUCUUGUACACACCGCCCGUCACACCAUGGGAGCCGGUAAUACCCGAAGUCAGUAGUCUAACCGCAGGGAGGACGCUGCCGAAGGUAGGAUUGGCGACUGGGGUGAAGUCGUAACAAGGUAUC
rnacentral:rRNA from 1 species